UGUCAAGUCGGAUGUGAAAUCCCCGGGCUCAACCUGGGAACUGCAUUCGAAACUGGCAGGCUAGAGUCUUGUAGAGGGGGGUAGAAUUCCAGGUGUAGCGGUGAAAUGCGUAGAGAUCUGGAGGAAUACCGGUGGCGAAGGCGGCCCCCUGGACAAAGACUGACGCUCAGGUGCGAAAGCGUGGGGAGCAAACAGGAUUAGAUACCCUGGUAGUCCACGCCGUAAACGAUGUCGAUUUGGAGGUUGUGCCCUUGAGGCGUGGCUUCCGGAGCUAACGCGUUAAAUC
rnacentral:rRNA from 1 species